rnacentral:rRNA from 1 species
CGCAGCCGCGGUAAUUCCAGCUCCAAUAGCGUAUAUUAAAGUUGUUGCAGUUAAAAAGCUCGUAGUUGAAUUUCGGGAUCAAUUUAUUGGUCGUGCUAUUGUACGUACUGGUAUUAUUGAUUUCUACCUUCUGACGAACCAUGAUGUCAUUAAUUUGGUGUCUUGGGGAAUCAGGACUGUUACUUUGAAAAAAUUAGAGUGUUUAAAGCAGGCUCACGCUUGAAUACAUUAGCAUGGAAUAACGAAAUAGGACGUUUGAUUCUAUUUUGUUGGUUUCUAGGAUCGACGUAAUGAUUAAUAGGGAUAGUUGGGGGCAUUAGUAUUCAAUUGUCAGAGGUGAAAUUCUUGGAUUUAUUGAAGACUAACUACUGCGAAAGCAUUUGCCAAGGAUGUUUUCAUUAAUCAAGAACGAAAGUUAGGGGAUCGAAGACGAUCAGAUACCGUCGUAGUCUUAACCAUAAACUAUGCCGACUAGGGAUCGGAUGAUGUUAAUUUUUAAUGACUCAUUCGGCGCCUUAAC